GCAUAUCAAUAAGCGGAGGAAAAGAAACCAAACAGGGAUUGCCCCUAGUAACGGCGAGUGAAGCGGCAACAGCUCAAAUUUGAAAUCUGGCUUCGGCCCGAGUUGUAAUUUGUAGAGGAAACUUUUGGUGAGGCACCUUCUGAGUCCCUUGGAACAGGGCGCCAUAGAGGGUGAGAGCCCCGUAUAGUCGGAUGCCGAUCCAAUGUAAAGUUCCUUCGACGAGUCGAGUAGUUUGGGAAUGCUGCUCAAAAUGGGAGGUAAAUUUCUUCUAAAGCUAAAUAUAGGCCAGAGACCGAUAGCGCACAAGUAGAGUGAUCGAAAGAUGAAAAGCACUUUGAAAAGAGGGUUAAAUAGCACGUGAAAUUGUUGAAAGGGAAGCGUUUGUGACCAGACUUGCGCCGUUCCGAUCAUCCGGUGUUCUCACCGGUGCACUCGGGGCGGCUCAGGCCAGCAUCGGUUUUGGUGGGGGGAUAAAGGUCCAGGGAACGUAGCUCCUCCGGGAGUGUUAUAGCCCUGGGCGUAAUGCCCUCGCUGGGACCGAGGUUCGCGCAUCUGCAAGGAUGCUGGCGUAAUGGUCAUCAACGACCCGUCUUGAAACACGGACCAAGGAGUCAAGGUUUUGCGCGAGUGUUUGGGUGUAAAACCCGCACGCGUAAUGAAAGUGAACGUAGGUGAGAGCUUCGGCGCAUCAUCGACCGAUCCUGAUGUAUUCGGAUGGAUUUGAGUAAGAGCGUUAAGCCUUGGACCCGAAAAGAUGGUGAACUAUGCUUGGAUAGGGUGAAGCCAGAGGAAACUCUGGUGGAGGCUCGCAGCGGUUCUGACGUGCAAAUCGAUCGUCAAAUCUGAGCAUGGGGGGCGAAAGACUAAUCGAACCAUCUAGUAGCUGGUUACCGCCGAAGU
rnacentral:rRNA from 1 species